GAAAGCUUGCUAUUGUCUUAAAAGUGGGUAGAACAAUUGCUGUUGCUCGGGUGCCAGGAACCCGGGAGUGUCUACAUAGUUAGCUUAACCUAAGCAAGCAAGAUGUACUAUAACCUCUACUAAACGCUAAUGUAAACCCUGUGACAUUCUAACGUCAAGAUAUUGACAGUUUUGUACUUAAAGUCUCAGUGCGUAUCGCAGGGACUUCUAGCCGUGGUUUUAUCAGGAAAACGUAAGUCUCAAGGAAACUGACUUAAAUUAACAUUCCACUAGCACUCUGCAGAUCAAAUAUCAUGAAAUAAGUGUCUGAAUAAAGAGAUGGUUCUCGUAUGCAAUUAAGCGGCCCAUGGAAAGUCCUUAGUCACUCUUUCCUCAGGAAGUUACUGUCCUAAACUUAAAAACUGAAACAACUUCCUGCUUCAUUUCAUGCUGGGUAAUUUCAUGUGGAAUUGCCUCUCCCUGUUCCCUUCAGUUCCUCUUUCCCUGAUUGGGGACUAGGUCUCCAGUAUGGUCCAGGAACCGCCACUUACAGCCCCUGCAGGCAAUGUUAAAAUAUGCUGUACUUUUUACACUCGCCUUUUAAGCGCAUUCCUGAUUCCUAAGGUUCAAUUUCAAAUUUUUUUUUCAAGAUACAUGCUCCCUCUAAACCUUCCCGUCAGUGAAAACUAAAUCCAUCCAUGACUCCCAAAGUCAGUAUUUCUGCCCUUCCUGCUGUUUCUCUUCCUUUCCAGCAGCGAGCAAGCUGUGCGCAUGCCCAAAGUCCCGCUCUACCCCUGCCUCUUCUGUCUUGGCGGGUCCGUGUUCUGCUCUUCCUUAAGGACUUCCUUUCCCAGAAGCCUCUCUUAAUGACACAACACCCCUGGUUUGCCGUUUAAUACACAGAUUAAAGAGCUACCUACACAGGGGUCUCCUUGAGAGAUAGCACCGAGGUAAAGAACACUAUCAUUAAGGCAGUGUUUUUCAGGCCGGGUUUACAACUUAAUUAUUUUAGCCCAUUAGCAAGAAAAGAGCAUCCUAAAUAGCACCGACCCCCCCCCCCUUAUUUGUAAUGUGAAGUAUCCACACCCUGUGAAGUUGUUAAAAGCCCAGAAGGAGUUGAUCUGUGUAAAGUUCUUUUCUUUAGGCGGGAGGGAGGGCAAGGUUUCUCUGUGUAGCCCUGACUGUCCUGGAACUAACUGUAGACCAGGCUGGCCUCGAAGUCAGAGAUCCACCUGCCUCUGCCUCCUCAGUGCUGGGAUUAAAGGCUUCUACCACCACCACCUGACCUGUAUAAACUUCUUAAUGAUAUAUUUGUAAAUUUUUUGUUGGGACUCUAAUCUUCAAGUGUUAGAUGCCAUUUUUAAGUAAGUUUUUAAGGAUCGCCUUUUUAAAAAAGUAACUAUCAGUAGGCUGGGGAAAUGUUUUGAAUAUACACCAUUAGGUACAACUGAAGAACCAUACUGUGGAUUCAUACUUUGAAACACACACAAUUAAAGAUUGCCAUAUAUAUGAAACAAUUCAUGUAGAAAUCUCGGUAAGUGACUCAAAAACAGAGUGUAGAGAGAUGAAAAAUUAUUUAAUGAAAAAAAUCAGCAUUUUGAUAUUACGAUUUUACCUGAUUAUGUGUGUGCUUUAACAGUGUAUUACAGUGCAGGGCUGUCCUGCAGCACCCCUGACAACCUGACAACUUCGGGUUCUAAAAGGCCCCUGUGGCCAAGAGCAUGUUUUGCAUGUUCUAGUGUGCCUGCUUAUGACUGGGGAAAACGGGCGUCCUAAUAUGAUUCCCCCUCAUAACCUGUAAGUGGUGGCAAAAAUACCAUCCUGCCGCAAGGAAAUGUAAAAAGCAAAACAGAGUAGCAGGGAAAUUUCCAGAAGAAUUUCUUUCCCAUGAAGAAAAUAGUUGACUCACACUUCACUGAGAUAUACUGAGCAAAUAUCUGUAAAAUACGCCUUCCUUUCCCAGUUCUGAAUGACUUCAGGCAGCCAGUGCAUUUGUAGGUAUUUUUAAGCUAACAGUGAUCGACUGUGGGGGG